ACCUUGUUCUAGGGUAUGCUCUGAUCGUGAAUUGUAAAGGGGCUGGGGUUCCAGGCGGAGGGGCUCAAGGUGUUCAGGCAUGCGGUGUCAUACGAGUUCAACUCGAGGUCGGCAAGAAGGUCCUACCAGUGCGCCUGCUCGAGGACGUCAACCACUAGGACUUCAUUGACAUCCCCAUCUUCCGCUCCCAGACCAACGCCGACGACACAGUGCUCGCCGGGAUCUAGAGGGUGGGGAAAGGGAGCAUCGUCGAGCCCACCAUGCCGCCCUUCCAGCUCGCCCGGCCCAUGCACCUCUGGGUCUAGGAUGGCGACCAUGUCAGGCUCCCCAUCCCAGUUGUAUCCUACACCAGGUUUAAUAUGCCAGGACGUGGAUGUGAAGCAUUUUUUCCCUAUUUUGCAGUGAUCAUUUCUUCACUAUAAAGUGCAAAGCAAGAUGCAGUUACAGAUAUAUGAUGAUCUAUAUUGUACAAAAGGGAAAAAGAUCUCGAAUUUGCUUUUCUCUUGAGCACCAAUGGCCACCAGAGGAUCCUUGACAUACAGAGGUAUGUUAUAACUGAUGAACUGAUGACAUUUCACUUGGUCUCGUUUGUCAGCCCAACUGAAUUUUCCGAGCAAAUUAAAUUAUUACAACAGAUUAGCCAUUGUAUAUAUUUGUAUUCUUCUCUAGGACUUGUUGACAACUUGCUGUUGUUAUGUAAGAUAUUUUGGGCCUAAUGACACAGCUUGCAUGCAUGUCUUUUUAAAUGGAGCUAUUAUGAGAAUUUUUACCUUUA